rnacentral:rRNA from 1 species
UACGAAGGGGGCUAGCGUUGCUCGGAAUUACUGGGCGUAAAGGGCGCGUAGGCGGAUAGUUUAGUCAGAGGUAAAAGCCCAGGGCUCAACCUUGGAACUGCCUUUGAUACUGGCUAUCUUGAGUUCGGGAGAGGUGAGUGGAAUGCCGAGUGUAGAGGUGAAAUUCGUAGAUAUUCGGCGGAACACCAGUGGCGAAGGCGACUCACUGGCCCGAUACUGACGCUGAGGCGCGAAAGCGUGGGGAGCAACAGG